rnacentral:rRNA from 1 species
GACGAACUGCCCAAACGUUGUUCGGAAUCACUGGGCUUAAAGGGCGCGUAGGCGGCUUACCAAGUCAGGGGUGAAAUCCGGCAGCUUAACUGUCGAAGUGCCUUUGAUACUGGUGAGCUCGAGGGAGGUAGGGGCCCGUGGAACUUCCGGUGGAGCGGUGAAAUGCGUUGAUAUCGGAAGGAACGCCGGUGGCGAAAGCGACGUGCUGGACUUCUUCUGACGCUGAGGCGCGAAAGCUAGGGGAGCAAACGGG